AUCUAGCUCCUGCAGAGAUGCGGGAGUGCCUUCGGGAAUUAGAAUACAGGUGCUGCAUGGCUGUCGUCAGCUCGUGUCGUGAGAUGUUGGGUUAAGUCCCGCAACGAGCGCAACCCUUGUCCUUAGUUACCAGCGGGUUAAGCCGGGAACUCUAAGGAUACUGCCAGUGACAAACUGGAGGAAGGCGGGGACGACGUCAAGUCAUCAUGGCCCUUACGACCAGGGCUACACACGUGCUACAAUGGUAGGUACAGAGGGCAGCUACACAGCGAUGUGAUGCGAAUCUCAAAAAGCCUAUCGUAGUCCAGAUUGGAGUCUGCAACUCGACUCCAUGAAGUAGGAAUCGCUAGUAAUCGCGGAUCAGAAUGCCGCGGUGAAUACGUUCCCGGGUCUUGUACACACCG
rnacentral:rRNA from 1 species